UGGGGCUACGAUGUUAGCAUCACCCCCUUCCUUGUAACCGAUUUCCCACGGGCGUCGGGUCGUUGAGCUACAUCCGUCGUACUCGCGACCGAGAUGGUCGAUUCGCCUCGCUUCUCGGUAAAUAAAAGCCGCGCACCAUCGAGAUCAAGCAGAGAGGGAGAAGGGUACUACCGUGGGGGUGCUUCACCUCUACUUCGACCGGACCCUUGGGGAGCUCUGGUGCUUCCCCAGGUUUGUGGGAGGAUUGCCAAAGAUGCGCCGCCCGGGAUCCAUCGCAAGCGCCACCAGAAUUCCUCGUCGUCGUUUGUGGUCCACCGCGUACCGCAUUGCUCCACAUCCAAGGCGCGACUCAGCGCAAACAUAGAUCAAGGACAUGGACCACAAGAUAAGGAGCAUGGUGGAUGCGGCGAUGAGUUCAUGAGAGAUCUAGGUCAUCGUAUCCCAGUCAAAUAUGGUUGCUGGAUCGUUGUCUUCUUAUGGAGUAAUUAUUUAACUAUUUUGUACAGAACUCCAUUAUAUAUGUCAAUGGAGCAUCAGUAAAUGGACUCAACUGAAAUUGAUUGAUUAUGUGAGUUAAAUGUAAGCUACUGAUGUCGCACUGA